GUUCCCAUCGUCUAGUCCGGUCAGGACACCGGCCUUUCACGCCGAUAACGUGGGUUCAAAUCCCACUGGGAACG
rnacentral:tRNA from 1 species